UACAGGGGGGGCAAGCGUUGUUCGGAAUUACUGGGCGUAAAGGGCGCGUAGGCGGUGCUCUAAGUCGGAUGUGAAAACUCUGGGCUCAACCCAGAGCCUGCAUCCGAAACUGGAGUGCUAGAGUUCUGGAGGGGGUAGCGGAAUUCCUGGUGUAGCGGUGAAAUGCGUAGAUAUCAGGAGGAACACCGGUGGCGAAGGCGGCUACCUGGACAGAAACUGACGCUGAGGCGCGAAAGCUAGGGGAGCAAACAGG
rnacentral:rRNA from 1 species